rnacentral:rRNA from 1 species
UUUCGCAAUGCCCGAAAGGGUGACGAAGCGACGCCGCGUGGGUGAGGAAGGCCCUCGGGUUGUAAAGCCCUGUCAGGAGUUAAGAAAUGUAGACUCGCUAAUAUCGGGUCUAUUUGACAAAGGCUCCAAAGGAAGCCACGGCUAACUCUGUGCCAGCAGCCGCGGUAAUACAGAGGUGGCAAGCGUUGUUCGGAAUUAUUGGGCGUAAAGAGCACGUAGGUGGGUUUGUAAGUCAGAUGUGAAAGCCUUCUGUUCAACGGGAGAAUUGCAUCUGAAACUACAGAUCUUGAGUAUAGGAGGGGAGAAUGGAACUUCUGGUGGAGCGGUGAAAUGCGUAGAUAUCAGAAGGAACGCCGGCGGCGAAAGCGAUUCUCUGGCCUAUUACUGACACUCAGUGUGCGAAAGCUAGGGGAGCAAACGGGAUUAGAUACCCCGGUAGUCCUAGUCGUAAACGAUGGGCACUAAGUAGAGGGGUUUUA